CGGCGAGCGAAGCGGGAAGAGCUCAAAUUUAUAAUCUGGCACCUUCGGUGUCCGAGUUGUAAUCUCUAGAAAUGUUUUCCGCGUUGGACCGCACACAAGUCUGUUGGAAUACAGCGGCAUAGUGGUGAGACCCCCGUAUAUGGUGCGGACGCCCAGCGCUUUGUGAUACAUUUUCGAAGAGUCGAGUUGUUUGGGAAUGCAGCUCAAAUUGGGUGGUAAAUUCCAUCUAAAGCUAAAUAUUGGCGAGAGACCGAUAGCGAACAAGUACCGUGAGGGAAAGAUGAAAAGCACUUUGGAAAGAGAGUUAACAGUACGUGAAAUUGUUGGAAGGGAAACGCUUGAAGUCAGACUUGCUUGCUGAGCAAUCGGUUUGCAGGCCAGCAUCAGUUUUCCGGGAUGGAUAAUGGUAGAGAGAAGGUAGCAGUUUCGGCUGUGUUAUAGCUCUCUGCUGGAUACAUCUUGGGGGACUGAGGAACGCAGUGUGCCUUUGGCGGGGGUUUCGACCUCUUCACACUUAGGAUGCUGGUGGAAUGGCUUUAAACGACCC
rnacentral:rRNA from 1 species